rnacentral:rRNA from 1 species
AUUGAACGCUGGCGGCAGGCCUAACACAUGCAAGUCGAGCGAGCGGCGGACGGGUGAGUAAUGUCUGGGUAACUGCCUGAUGGAGGGGGAUAACUAUUGGAAAAGGUAGCUAAUACCGCAUACCAUCAGAUGUGCCCAGAUGGGCUGAGCUAGUAGGGGGGGUAACGGCUCACCUAGUCGACGAUCCCUAGCUGGUCUGAGAGGAUGACCAGCCACACUGGAACGUAGACACGGUCCAGACUCCUACGGGAGGCAGCAGUGGGGAAUAUUCCACAAUGGGCGCAAGCCUGAUGCAGCCAUGCCGCGUGUAUGAAGAAGGCCUUCGGGUUGUAAAGUACUUUCAGCGGGGAGGCGUUACCCGCAGAAGAAGCACCGGCUAACUCCGUGCCAGCAGCCGCGGUAAUAC